AUCUACUACCAUAGUCCCCUGAGCAUGUCCAAUCUCCUCUGAUCUUGGAAGGUAAGCAGGAUUGGGUCUGCUUAGGACUAGGAUGGGAAAAAUAAUAACUUUCCAAGUAAAUGUGGAAGAUA
rnacentral:rRNA from 1 species